rnacentral:rRNA from 1 species
GACGUAGGGGGCAAGCGUUGCUCGGAAUCACUGGGCGUAAAGCGCACGUAGGCGGCUUCUUAAGUCAGGGGUGAAAUCCUGGAGCUCAACUCCAGAACUGCCUUUGAUACUGAGGAGCUUGAGUCCGGGAGAGGUGAGUGGAACUGCGAGUGUAGAGGUGAAAUUCGUAGAUAUUCGCAAGAACACCAGUGGCGAAGGCGGCUCACUGGCCCGGUACUGACGCUGAGGUGCGAAAGCGUGGGGAGCAAACAGG